AGGGGCGUCGCCAAGUGGUUUAAGGCACCGGGUUUUGNGUCCGGCAUUUAUCGAAGGUUCGAAUCCUUCCGCCCCCGCCA
rnacentral:tRNA from 1 species